ACAAUUCGAGGACUGCUUUUUAAGACUACGUUUAAGGACUGCGAGCUAUGACGUUGAAUGUAGCUCGUAAUGUAAUUAUAUGUAAUCGUAUCAGGCAAGGCUUGAUAUUAGAAUAAAACUGAUUAUGUAUUAUAAUUAGAUGAGUUUAUCUAAACAAAUUUGAAUGUAAUUAUAUGUAAUCGUAUCAGGCAAGGCUUGAUAUAUUAGAAUAAAACUGAUUAUGUAUCAUAGGUAGAUGAAUUUAUCUAAACAAAUUUGGAUGUAAUUAUAUGUAGAUGAAUUUAUCUAAACAAAUUUGGAUGUAAUUAUAUGUAAAUGAAUUUAUCUAAACAAAUUUGGUUGCAAUUAUAUGUAACCGUAUCAGGCAAGGCUUGAUAUUAGAAUAAAACUGAUCAUGUAUCAUAGGUAGAUGAAUCUAUCUAAGCAAAUUUGCAUCAAAAUAUAUAUAUAAGUUUCUGGCCGUUUUUUUAAAUCUCCAUUACUACACUUACAACAAAUAUAUUUGUACCACACAAUUUGUUCAUUUGAAUUACAUCUCUAAAAAUAUUUAUUUGAUGCCUUCACCUCCUCACACCCUGCACAUUAAUUUUAACAUGGCGUCAUAUUACAAGUUUUGUCAAAAUGAAAUUAAUUUGUAUCUGUAUACGUAUCAAUAUGGAUGUACCGCUCUAGAAUGUCUAGAUCGCGUCUGCCUUCGUUAAUAUUAAAAUCCUCCAAUUGUUUUCGAGCAACGUAGUUUCGAUUGCACCGGCCGACCAACGUAGUAUAUCGAAGUCGCUCGCCGCAAGUCGCUCGUUUCCUCGGACACGGUUGAUCGGAUAAUUGAUUAUUCACGUUUGCACGAUCGGAUCGCGGCGUUCGUCGAUCCGUGUUCGUUGAAUAAAAUAAAACGGGAACCGGAAAAAAAAAAAAAAAAAGACAGAGCCUCGAGAACAGGUGAAAACUGUAGGGGCGCCGGGCGACAAUCGCGAUCAAUGCGUCGCGCGUUAUUGUUACUGUCUUUCCUGUUCCCCGGGUGAAAAUAAAAACGAGGACUGCGUGUGUCCCCGGGAAACACCAUCAAUCGAUGUCGAGUGUGACGAACUUCCGAUUCAAACUACCUACGAGAUCCACCUCGUAAGAAUCAAAUGAACCGCGUGAAAAGGAAAUAUUAAGAUCAGCCGAUGCAAUCGUGAAGUCCUAACGCCAGAGCCGAGCAAAAUUUUUAUCUGUAUAAAAAUGCUAGACCGAGGAUAAGGAUAAACAAGCUCAAGGUGAUCUUAUUCUUGCUCUUGGAAGUAUCGAAGAUAAUGUGUAACGAAUUAAUUAAGAUCACCAGUUUGAUUAAAACGAUAGCCGUACAAUAAAUAA